GUGCGGUUGUGCGGAUACAGGACCCCCGGACGCCUUUGUGUGUUUUGCUCUGUUACCUUGAUUUUUUUUCCUUUUUUUAAAUAUCGGCUCGGUUGUUUGUUUGUUUUUGUUGUUGUUGAGAACGCAGAGUUUGUGCUGCGUUUGUGACUGAGAGGAGUAUCGAGGUUUGUUUCCUCCUCCGAGAGAGGGACCGAAAAAUAUCAAGUUUGUUUACCUUUUGAAGGUGGUGCAGCUGUUGGUGUGGGUUGUGUGUAGAGUGAGCUGGUAAUUAGAAGAGAAGAUGGCGUGUGCACAGUCUCCUGCCACAGGCGCAGCAGAGAAGGGCCAAGACCUGCUAACGCCGUUGCUUGAGGCACUGACACUCGAGCCUAAGUACCAGCCCGCCUUGGCACUCCCGCACACUGCUAAGGAGGAUGGUGGGGAGAUCAGCAUGAGGAUGCGCAAUGGUUCGGACCCAUGUGCUGCGUUGCUUGAAGGUGUGGUAUGACCUUCCACCCGAUACCUUUUUCAACGCAGUCAACAUCAUGGAUCGUUUCCUCACACGCAUGAAGGCUCAGCCAAAGCAUUUGUCUUGCAUGCUGUGAGUGCAUUCCAUCUUUCAUGGCCAGUUCACCCCUGGUUACAGCCAUCUGAGGGAUGUGCCCCAGGGUGCCAGACACCAGAGACCUCACCACCAUCUCUCAGUGCAAAUGCUCGUCAGGUGAUGUGACCCGCAUGGAGCGCAUCAUCAUGGACAAGCUGGCCACAGACCUGCGCUGCCAGCCACCCGUUACGCCCCUUACGCUGCUCCGUCUCCUGCAUGCCGCUCAUUCCCAUCUGGCUGCCCCCACCUUGCCAGUCCUCACACCCUACAUCCCUCACCACCCUUGUGCACAAGCUGGAGAUCGUGGAGUGCGACGCAGCAGCUGCCACAUUCAGACCGUCAGAGCUGGCCCUGGCUCUUCUGGCACUGGAACUGAGGCACGAUGCAGCCAAUGAGCAACUUCACAAUGCUUGUAUAGAUCAUCUGCAAAACAUAUGCAAGGUGGCUGACGACAGCUUCAGUAAGUGCCAGAAGGUAGUAGCUGAACUGAUGGAUCAGUAUGAAAACCAGAGACACUCCCCCCACCGACAGCGUCUCGUAUGGAAGCUCUCCAACAGAACUCUUCGACAGCUGAGACCCACCGACAAGUUCACCACUCGGCUGCCCACCAUUGUUGAAAUGCAGGGUCCCUCACAUCCUCCUAUCAUAAGGCCGAGAACGGAUAGCGAGAGCUCGGAGAUGUACAUGUCAUCUUCCGAGGAGGAAAUGGAUUAUGAUUACGAUGAAGAGUUCCCCCCACUCCCCACUCCAGCAACCUCAAUGAAAUCUCCUCGGAAAUUGCCCAGCCAGUCACCCCAUAAGAAGGUCCCCCCCUUUCUUCCUUAUCCUCAAGUUAACCGAAAACAUAACCGCCUUGCAUAAUUGUGUUUUUGCUGUGCAGCGCACCUAGGGCAAGCAAGAAACUACAACCUUUGCCACGUUAAAAAAAAAAUAACAAGUAUCGAUGUUUACUACAGAUUUUAUAUAUUAUUUUAAGUUCCUAAGUGUGCAGUUUUGGAUGUUAGUUACAGCAUUUACUAUGUGAAUCUUGGCAUUCUGUUGCAGCAUAGGUCUAUAUCAGUUUUUGGCCGUGUUAGCUGUUCAGAAGACCCCAGCAUCUUUCAGUCUGGUCGUCUUGCUCUGUGUUCUGACUUCCCAAGUUGAAACUGCACAAAGCUUUCUUUUAAGCACCAUACAACAUUUUUAACUUCAUGAACACUUAAUGCAGUGUUCCUUGCUUUAUAUAUUUUUUUCUUUUGACAGAAGUCUUGUUUUCCUCAACUGUGUACUACUGCUUCUUAGCAUGAUUUUCUUACACGUAAAUCUUACAUUUUAAGCAAAAAAAAAAUAUAUAUGAAUAAAAAAUGGUUAAAACUGACCACCGAAAAGUGAUACUUUCAAGGAGUAGCAGUAGCCGAGAAGGAAUUUUAGUUUGUUUCCCUUUUUCCUCCGUGUUUUUUUCCACGCCAGGAAAGAUGCACAGAGGAGAAAGUGACUAGCAGGUCGUCUUGCUGUCCUUAUUCAGACAGGCCCUGUAGGGCUCACUUAUUUUUGUCUGUCAUUUAGCUUCAUCUUUGCCAUAGGAAAUUUGUCUUGGUCUUUACAUGAUCUUUAGUGGAAAACUCAUCAUUGAUUACUUAAAAAACAAAAAAAACAUAAAACCUACAAAAAACAUUACUUUAUUGGAUGUAUGUAAUAGUGUAUUGUAGCUUUAUUCAGCAUCUUCAAGAAAAAGUACAAAAAAAAUCAUAAAAUUCACAAAACAUACUAACAAGUAGGGUUAUAUUGUAAUAACCUUUCUUUCCAUUUAUUCACACUAAUAAUCUCUUUGGGUAUUGCCUGGUCAUAAAGCAAAAUUAGGGUGGUGAUUCUUUCCUGGCUGAUUCACACAUGGGACAGGUUUAUCAUUUGCGCGCAGAAGGAAGCUACACUAGUCCCUAGUCAGUAUUGUUCUGUGCCAUGAACAGAGCUCCCUAUGCAGUGUUGCCAUCCCUGCAAUAGCUCCAGCCGAUGCAGCGGUUCCCCACAGCAGUGCGGAAGGGAUUGUAGAGGCUGAAGCUGAGCAACACUAGACGUGUUCUGUUUGGACACAAGGCUGUGAUAACCCCAGACACAGUGUCUGAUUUUAUACGAUGCUAGGGGUGACGAGCGCCUCUCUUGUGUGACCCAAAUGCAGAGCAGCGCUUUCGCGUUGCUUCAGGGAGUACCUCCAGGUUUUGUUGCCAUGGUCGGUUACUAGAAGGCCAGCAUCUGCACUCACUUGACGCCUGUCGAGGCAGAAUAAGGCUGGCCAUUUGUAGAGUACUUAAAGGCAAUAACCAGGCUGGUACUGCAAGUGAAGGUGGUUGUUGCCCUGUUCGGGAGCCUGAUUCAGGUAGUGCGGCACAUAAAAGAUACCAGGGUGGUGCCUGACAGGCUGCCUCCGAGCGAUGGACACCCGCCAGGGCGACGAGUCGCGGAGGUGGCCCGUCCCCACCCAACCACACCAGCAUCAGCGCUGUUGAUAUAUUAAAAAAAAAAAAAUAUUUUGAAUUUAAUUGCUUAUAAUUUUGGUUCUAAGUUGUAUGUAAUCGAUGCAACAGAACCUCGUUUUAUUAAAUAUUGUACCUGCCAGUAAAGAUAGAUUGUCAGAAAUAUAUUGGUGCUGGGCUUCAGACGUCGAGUCAGGCCUAAGUGCAUAUGUUCUUGUAAUUUUGUGCAUCGUAUUUAUUUAGUGAUGUAAAUGAUAUGUACAUUGAAUGUGAAUUGUAUUUUUAGUUUAUAUGGAAGUAUAUAUUGUGUUUAUUGGUUCAAGUCAUCUUGAAAAAAGUGCUAUCAAUAUUUUAUUAUGUUUUAAUAGGAAAGCUUUUAAAGCCAGCAACAGCAAAAGCAACCCAAUGAGUCUUGUAAGCCACCCAAGGAGUAACAGGUUAUGAUUGUCUUCACUAAUAGGACAGUGCAAGUUUUAUUUCCUUUUUUUUAUUAUUUUGUUUUACAUUUUUGUUGGAUCACAAUGACCUGCCUGUGAAGCCAUGGGAUGUAGAGCCUCAGCCCCUUUGUAGUCCAACCCCCAUCUAUAAAUGCAAUGUAUCCUGUCAUAUAGCUAAAGCUGCGUGAAGCAAUUCUCCCUUCACUUCAUUGUGAUUGUAUACUUCUAUUAUAAACAGUAACCUGCUUACGACUUUGGUUUAUAUGAUGUGCGGGUUGGCCUUAGGGGGGAGGGGGAGGCGAAGUACCCCUCCCCCUGGACAACCCUCAAGCAGAUGUGUUGGUACAAAGCUUCAGUCAAUGUGAUGGUGUAAAGUCUGGAAAACUAUGUUUAUGUCCAACGGGCACCUAUUUUGGGGCUGAGGGAUAAAUAGGACUGAAUGUUACAUGGUUAUGGCCCGAAUACGAUUUUUAAUUUUACUUUAUUAAUGUGUACAUAAAGUGUAUGAUGUACAGGUGUAAGUUAUUUUGAAGGAUCUAUCAAAGUCUCGGGCAUUUGACAACAACCCAAAGAGCCAAAAAACAUUAAAAAAUGUGUAGUUGAUUCUUGUGUCAUACACAGUUGUCUAGCCUCUCCACAACAAAAAGGAAAAUAAAGAUUAAAUAUUUUUCUAAA